AUGGGACAGAUGUUCCCCACAAGUGUCAGGGCAAGUGGCGCUGCCAACCCCUUCAUUUUGGAUUUCUGCCUCCAGAACUGUGAGAAAGUAGAUUUCUGUAUUUUAAGCCCCGAGUUCAUGCAACUGUGUUCGAGCAGCCAUAGGACACUCAUACACACUGCAGAACUGAUCACUGACAUUUUGGGCCUGCCUCCUCACCCCAUCUCUCUGCAAAGGGCUCGUGUCCAUUGUGGUCACUGCUGGACCCCAUGUGCUGGGCACGUAGCAGGCCCUCACUGGCCAUUUGUAGAGGGAGUGAAUUCUCUGGUCAGUGUCACCGCUGCGGAGCAGCCUGGGGGUCCUCGUGAAGCUGGAUUUGGAAGUCUUGAAGCAGCACUGAGAGGAUGCUCCGUCCGCCUCCCCGGAAUCCGUGUACCAGCUCAUCUCCAGCUCCUCCACGCGGAGCAGAAGGCAGCGCCCGCCCCGCGAGCUCGCACGGAGAGCAAGGCCAGCUCUUCUUCCUUUGGUUUUUCUUUAACAUUUUUUCUCCGCCUCGUCCAUACUCAUUACUCUGGGUUAUCUUUUUGUGGCUCAGAAGCCCCAGAGCGAGGAGAGGAGGGAAGACACACAGGAGAAAGGAGGCGAUGGAAGCAUUUUUGUGAUGCACCAAGAGGGAAAAAUAAUUUUAAAACAGAGACACCAAGAUCCCACAGGGAGCGAGCGCCUCAUUGUUUUCAAAAGAGUGAAGACGCUUGCCUGACACCCUGGUCCCCACCAGGCUGUGAGCUCCCUGUGGGCAGGAGGGACCCUUCCCCACCCACAGGGUGUCUUGUGCUGGACAAAGCCAUGGCCUUGGAAACAGACGUCCAGGGUUUCGGCCAGGCCAGGCCUUCCUCCUCCUGCGUGCUUUGGAAGGUGGAGAAGCAUGUGCUCUGGGGAGGUGCGGACACUCCAGAACUAGGGAGACAGCAGGACGUGCCUGGGCCCUGGAGGACUGGACCUUCUCACACCUGGCUGGACACGGUCAGCUCCACAAAGCAAAGUCGUGGUCCUCAUCUGCCAGGAGGCUGUGACCUCCAGUCCUCACCUGCUGGGCUUGGUGGCCUCUUGCAGAGACUCCUGCCAAGUGUGGGUUUGCGGACAGCCAGGAGCAGCCCCGGUUAUCUUCUCUUUCCUGCAGCCCCAAGGCGGAAUGGGAAGGAAGCAGCAUGCAGCCGGCUCCAGAGGCGGAAAUGUAGGAGCAGGUCCCUUCUGGGCCCAGGGAAGUGA
rnacentral:lncRNA from 1 species